UGGGCUAUGGCCAAGCGGUAAGGCAACGGACUUUGACUCCGUCACUCGUUGGUUCGAAUCCAGCUAGCCCAG
rnacentral:tRNA from 1 species